ACUGCUCUCUGCCACAGCCUCUCCCUGCUCACUAAACCUUGUCGCCUCUUCAGCUCCCAACACCUCCUCCUCCUUCCAGUCUUCUCCCUCUUCUCCCUCUAACCACUUAGUGUUGUUCCACCACCAGUCCUCAGGCUCUAAGCCUUCUUCCUGUGGGGGUUCCCCAGCAAGUGCCUCGCACCAGUCCUCUGCUUCAUCCAGCCCAUGACAGGAGGAGAUAUAUGCCUUGGAGGAGAAGGUGGGAUAUUAAUGCAAUCAAUAAAUAAGCAGAGCCAGCCCUUUGUAGCCAAAGAGAUUCAACAGGCAGCCUCCUUUGUGGAUGGGUGGCUUGAGAAUCCAAGAGUCUUUAAAUUGAUUUCCUUCAUUUUCCACACCACAUCAGCAGUUUUUUCACGGCACACCAGCACCCCAUGGUAGACAGCAUGGAAAUGACUAGCAGGAUGUUCCCAUUGCUCUUGUCCAGACAGAGGGUUGCUGAGCACAUAAGGUUCAAUUAGGCUUUCUGUUUUCAGUGGUUCUCAACCUGUGGGUCCCCAGAUGUUGUUGGACUACAGCUCCCAUCAUCCCUGAGCUCUGGCCUUGCUAACUAGGGGUGAAGGGAGUUGUAGUUCAACAACAUCUGGGGACCCACAGGUUGAGAAAGGCUGGUUUAAAAACUUCUGACUCCACUAGUGGGAUGAAGUUGGGGAAAGAGGGUGGAAUGGCAGUAUGGGAGUUCUUGGGGUUUACGUAUCCCAGUUCACGUAUCUACAUAUUCCAACUUUUUGGAGCAUGCAGUCAGGAACAAAGUUGGGCGAAGUUUAUGCCAGUUAUAAAUCUACACAGAAAAGCAACCACGGGAAGCUAAUUCUCAGGAACAGUGCAAACGUUUUCUCUCCCCCUGGAACAAAUCACACAUUUUAGAUGACCCACAGUUUGAAAACCAUGUUUCGAACGGGGAACUCCCCCCCCCCCCCAAGCUUAGCAGUUUACCAUUUAUGCUGCCCUGCAGGUGGGAGAUUGAAUUCACUCUUGACUGAAGGAAUGUGAGAUUGGGACUGGGGCUGAGAACAUCCUUGUUCCCAAAUUCAGCCAGUCACUUGUUUCCCUGCUCCUUGUCGCUGUAAUAGCCAUCUUGCCUGAGCACCUCACAAUUCCAGGUUCUCCUACAGGGAUAUGAAGAAAGAGUGGGCUGAGAACUAAGAAUACUCUGUGUGCUGCUUGUGAGCAUCCCAUAGGCUGCAAUCCAUACUCUAACCAGGAUGGACUUGCAGGAUUCAUAGCAUAAUAAAAUUGGAGGUGGGGGCAGAAGUUCAUCCAUUACUGAAAUUGCAUUGGAUUAUUAUUAUUUUUAAAGGAGAUAAAGCAUUUGAUAAACCAAUAGGUGUCUGGUUAGUCACUGUGUGAAUGAGGAUACUGGACUGUGUGUACCCUUUUCCUGGGCAGCACGACCUUCGUAUGUUCUUGUUUUCUGAAAUUGCAUAAACACAGACAAACUGCACUUUGGGACUGCACAUACUUCCACUGUCAGAGGAAGUUUCCUGGGAGCCACAAGUGGGGAGAACGCUGCUUUGGGCUUCACAUGGGUAUCUGGUUGGCCACUGUGAGAACAAGAUGCUGAACAAGAUAGGCCUUUUGGACUCACAGCUGUCCAUGGAGGCACAGGGCAGCUGUCUACCAGCUCCAUCUGAUACACAGGCUGAGACCCUACCUGCCCACAGACUAUCUCACGAGAGUGGUGCAUGCUCUAGUUAUCUCCCUCUUGGACUACUGCAAUGCGCUCUACAUGGGGCUACCUUUGAAGGUGACCCAGAAACUACAACUAGUCCAGAAUGUACUUUGGAAUUCCCUGAAGUGUUGGGUGCAAAAGGUGAUCUGGCAUUUCCCGGCCGUUAAUUUACUGGCUCAUCUGUCUGCCCUUCCCUUCCCUAGCUGAGUUCCACAAUAAACAGAGAUAGGUAUAGGUGACAGGACCAGAAGAAGAACAGAAGGUUCUCUUGUUAAUAAUAAUAAUAAUAAUAAUAAUAAUUUCUUUAUACCCUGCCCAUCUGGCUGGGUUUCCCCAGCCACUCUGGGCAGCUCCCAAUCAAAUAUUAAAAACACAAUACAGCAUUAAACAUUAAAAACUUCCCUAAACAGGGCUGCCUUCAGAUGUUUUUUAAAAGUAGGAUAGUUGCUUAUAUCCUUGACAUCUGAUGGGAGGGCGUUCCACAGGGCGGGCGCCACUACCGAGAAGGCCCUCUGCCUGGUUCCCUGUAACCUCACUUCUUGCAGUGAGGGAACCGCCAGAAGGCCCUCAGAGCUGGACCUCAGUGUCCGGGCUGAACGAUGGGGGUGGAGACGCUCCUUCAGGUGUACAGGACCGAGGCCAUUUAGGGCUUUCAAGGUCAGUACCAACACUUUGAAUUGUGCUCGGAAACAUGCUGAGAGCCAGUGCAGAUCUCUCAGGACCGGUGUUAUAUGGUCCCGGCGGCCACUCCCAGUCACCAGUCUAGCUGCCGCAUUCUGAAUUAAUUGCAGUUUCCACCAGGGAAUAGUAUGCCAGAGAUCUCUGGGUUGUGAUUAAAAACCCCUUUUUGCAUUUGCCAGCACCAUUAGAGAGACUGAGACAAGUGAGCUGAUGUCGGGUGUCUUAAAAGGGCAGCAAAUUUCUGGUUAUUUCAUUUCUUUCUUGUCUCAUUUUUACUGCUGAGGAGGGCAAGAGGGAGGCACUCGGGGGAUUUUUCUGCCUCACACGCCAAAAUAAUUUCACCCUAUUUUGGAACUAUGAACUUGAUUUGGUAAGAGGGCAUCAUUUGCGGCUCCCAUUUCGGCAAACAAGCCAGACCUGUGAGCAAUUGUAUUUUCAAAACUUCUGGGAAGGCAUUCUGGGUGCCACCAGGGCUGGCUGUGAUCUCACCAUCUUCUCCUGAGCUGCAGAGAAAUCGAAAUUCACAUGCAUCUCACAAAUCACACCCUUUCGCUGUGCACAAACACUGCUGGCAUCCGAUAACCCUUUGGAAGAAUGCUAGUGUUUCUAAGGAGUAAGGGGAGAGUAUUAGUCGAUGGGAGACGGCCGUAGUUCAGUGGCAGGGGCUUGCAGGAGCUCCCAGGUGCAGUAUCUGGCAGGGAAUGGCCCUUCUCCGAAAUCCUGGACAGUUGCUGAUGGUCAGUGUAGACAACAUUGAUCUAGAUGGACCAAUGCUCUGAUUGACCUAUAACACAGCUUCCUAUGUUCCUAUUUCCCAAAACGUUCCUUCCUUUUCCAGGUUGUAGUUUCACAAAACAGUGUAAUAGGUCGCAACCGCAUGCGCUGGCAAGUCUGCAGUGCUUAACAUCAUGAGAGGGCCAACUAUUUAAGAUUUCGGGUACAUAAUGUUCAAUCCAGUGUCGGUCGUAUGUGCUGUAAAAUGAGCCAACACCCUAUGUGUAUAUAUAUUUGUGUGUGUGUGUUUAAUAUUCUAGAAGUGGUUCUGUUCCAGGAAUUACUUAAUCCAAAUUUUGCUUUGUUUUCCCACCCCCUUUCCUUUUUCUCCCCCCUCAUGGCACUUUGAGCUUUGUUCGUUUUGGCUUUUCGGAGACGGAUUCUGGGAUGGGAAGGAAGGGUUAGGUUCCACAUGGCUUGGAGGCAAGGCGUGCCUUUCUUCUUAGUUUUGGCAGAGGCACCAAGGAAAAGAGAGAAGCUUCUCAGAAAAGGGAAAGGCUUCUGUGUCUCUGAGGUUUACCCAGGCAAAGCAAUUAGAGGAUUAGAGCUAUGAACUGGCCUAACUUCUGUUAGUACUUGUGCCCGGAGUUGGGAGUGGAGGGGUUAAAUAAAGAACGCAUGGUCCAAACCAGUUUCUAAAAGAGGAUAACUGGUCACCUAUGUUAAAUCUCACUUCCCUCCUUCAGAGAGAAGUCUUUUUACUGCUUUUGAGUCUCCAUCUUUUUGG
rnacentral:lncRNA from 1 species